rnacentral:rRNA from 1 species
CCUACGGGUGGCAGCAGUGAGGAAUAUUGGUCAAUGGACGAGAGUCUGAACCAGCCAAGUCGCGUGAAGGAUGACUGCCCUAUGUGUUGUAAACUUCUUUUAUAAAGGAAUAAAACGAGGCACGUGUGCCCUUUUGCAUGUACUUUAUGAAUAAGGAUCGGCUAACUCCGUGCCAGCAGCCGCGGUAAUACGGAGGAUCCGAGCGUUAUCCGGAUUUAUUGGGUUUAAAGGGGGCGUAGAUGGGUUGUUAAGUCAGUUGUGAAAGUUUGCGGCUCAACCGUAAAAUUGCAAUUGAUACUGGCAGGCUGGAGUACAGUUGAGGUAGGCGGAAUUCGUGGUGUAGCGGUGAAAUGCUUAGAUAUCACGAAGAACCCCGAUUGCGAAGGCAGCUUACUAAACUGUGACUGACACUGAUGCUCGAAAGUGUGGGUAUCAAACAGGAUUAGAUACCCUAGUAGUC